UACGUAGGGGCCUAGCGUUGUCCGGAAUUACUGGGCGUAAAGCGCGCGUAGGCGGACCUGCAAGUCGGGGGUGAAAGCCCGAGGCUCAACCUCGGAACUGCCUUCGAUACUGCGGGUCUCGAGUCCGGGAGAGGUGAGUGGAAUUCCUAGUGUAGAGGUGAAAUUCGUAGAUAUUAGGAAGAACACCAGUGGCGAAGGCGGCUCACUGGCCCGGUACUGACGCUGAGGCGCGAAAGCGUGGGGAGCAAACAGG
rnacentral:rRNA from 1 species